GCAUCGGUGGUUCAGUGGUAGAAUACUCGCCUGCCACGCGGGUGACCCGGGUUCGAUUCCCGGCCGACGCA
rnacentral:tRNA from 1 species